CCCUCCCCCGCCCCCUGCCUCACUGUCCUCCCUCUCCCCAAAUACCCGCCUCCGCUUUCAUGCCGCUGGACUCUUGAGAGCCAUGGAGGCUGCCUGAGCUCUGCACGUCAUGGAGGGAAGGGCGGUGCUGGCCCGCUAUGAGUUCUGGGAAAGGCUGCAUAGGUCAAGCUCAAGUCCAGCACACUGAGGCUGAAUGGUGGAAUACGUGGCCCAGGUCAGACCAGUGGGGACAAGCAGGAGUUUACACGAUCCACAGUGGUGUUCCUGUCACUGGUUCAGAAGAGGCAUGGCACGUGGGGAGCGUCCUGAGAAUCUCACCAGACUCUACUUGGUUCAAGGAUCCAGAGGGGGUGACUCCGGCCCUCAACAAACUCAAGAGUGAUGAGGAAAUAAAGCAGGAUAGAAUCUGUGCCCCCGCUGCCCUGGUGGAGGGAGUAUCUCCAAGGCUCAGGACAGUGCAGGUAGGGGUAACCAAGGGACCCGUGAGGGGAGUCGCUCCCCCGAAACAGAUGUCACAUUUACAUAUUCAACAGUAAUGCAUGCUCUUCAAACCCAAUAUACAUGUAUAUCUACACACACACACACACACACCACACACACACACACACACACACGCUGAGGUAAAGAAAUCAAAAAGUGGGGUUGGGGAUUUAGCUCAGUGGUAGAGCGCUUGCCUAGCAAGCGCAAGGCCCUGGGUUCGGUCCCCAGCUCCGAAAAAAAAAGAAAAAAAAGAAAAAGAAAUCAAAAAGUGUCUACACAUAUUUUAUCUCCCACUGCCUAGUAAGGAUUAAAGACAUGCGACACAUGGUUUUCAAAAAUGAUAAAUUAAGUGGAAUAUCUGGGUCAAAGAGCAUGCACAUUUUUAAGGAUAGAACACACACACUCACACGUGCACACACAUACACACACAUACACACACACACACACACACACACAACCCUGUGUCAGAAAUUAUUUUAACAAGGAAAAUGAGACAACACAGAAAUACGAAGCACUUUUUAACCCAGUGGCUGCACACGUGGCCCUGGUUAAACUAAGUCAGUCAUAAAACAAAAUCCGGACUUAUGGACCUUUGAGAUGGAGUGGUAGGUAUUGGUGGUGGAUAAGAGAGAGGGGGGGGAGUUAAUCAGAAUCUGUGUAUACACACCAUUAAGCAACAAAAUGAACAAGUAGAGGCUAGUUUUAAGAUAUUUGUUUUUACUUUUGUUUCCUGAGAAGUUUGUACUCUUUCCUUCUGUUUUAGUCAUUACCAUACUGAAGUACCUGAGGCUGGAUAACUUUAUAAGGAAAAGAGGUGAGCGGGGUAGUCUUAGCUCUCCAACAGAUGGAAAGCUAAGAUCACAAAGUCGCCUCUUGUGGACCAGUGCUAAGCCUAGCUGAUGCCUGUUCCUUCUGUCACCACUAAACUAAUGAGUUCGCUGAAGCCCAGAGAGGUGAAGACACACGCUGGAGGCCACACAGCUGUGAGCAGCAAGGGGAGUGUGCGAGCCGAUUACUCAUGGCUGUAAGCGCCUGUCUUUCAUCCAAUGCAAUGACGGUUCUAAUUAACACAUGAGGUUCUAUCCCAUCCCCACCCCAAGUCUGAUGACAUAGCCAUGUGCCUUAGACCAGCGUGGCCUCCAGAUUUUUCCACAAAAGUUUCCAGUUAUAUGCAUAGCGGCCUGAAGAAUACCCUCCCGUGUUUAGUCAGGCUAAACCAUCACUUCUUACAGUUAUGAAUUAUGGGUCUGGUUUGGGGUGCAGCUGUGGGGGUAUGUCAAUUACUGGCAAAAGCAACUUAAGGAAGAAAGUUAUUAGGGUUCCCAGUUCAAGGCAGGAGACAAAAAGGGUAGAGGGUAGAGAGGGGUAGGUGUGUUCAACAAAAUGAGAGAUUCGUGGAAAAGGUUUAUGGAAACUUGCCAGUUAGUAAGCUAAUUUCAAACUACAAAUUAAAAACAAAACGUUUAUACAGAAUUCUUGUGCAUGAGUGAGCAAAGUCCCCGCCAGCAGACACGAGUUAUUAAAUGAACAUCGCAGUGCAAGGCAUGGGUAUGACGCCUCCCUGUGAGUUAGUCAGGGAGGCCCCAGAAGUCUCCAAAAUAACACAGGCUGUUGUCAUGGCCUUUGGAUGCUUCCCUCCCUCAUAACUAUAUGGCAAGGCCCUGCUGGCUGAAGACGCUGUACACUUUGGCUGAAGGACACAGAGAAGUUUCAAACUGACAGAGAAGCUUCCUCCCUGAUGGCUACCUUCCAUAGUGCCAGAUGGUGCCAUGCAAGUUGAUGGGAGUCCAAAGCCACCAGCGGUAUUGCCCAGCACGGGACACUGCACGCUGCAGCUGCAGCAUGAA